rnacentral:tRNA from 1 species
GCAGGUGUAGUACAUCGGCUAGUACGCGGCCUUGCCAAGGCUGAGAGGGCGGUUCGAUUCCGCUCACUUGCUCCA